GAGGAUGUAGCUCAGAGAUGGAGUGCUUGCUUGACAUGCAUAAGACCAUAGGUUCAAUUCUUAGCAUCUUUC
rnacentral:tRNA from 1 species